UACAGAGGGUGCAAGCGUUAAUCGGAAUUACUGGGCGUAAAGCGUGCGUAGACGGUUACAUAAGUCGGGUGUGAAAGCCCCGGGCUCAACCUGGGAAUUGCAUUCGAGACUGCGUAGCUAGGGUGCGGAAGAGGGAAGCGGAAUUUCCGGGUGUAGCGGUGAAAUGCGUAGAUAUCGGAAGGAACACCAGUGGCGAAAGCGGCUUCCUGGUCCAGCACCGACGUUCAGGCACGAAAGCGUGGGGAGCAAACAGG
rnacentral:rRNA from 1 species